rnacentral:tRNA from 1 species
GUGGCAGUGCGUGGCCGAAUGGUUACGCUAUCCGCUUUGUAAGCGGAUGAUUCUGGGUUCGAUUCCCAUCUGCUACA